CCUCCCUCCUCUCUUCCUCUGUCUGUUUGUCUGUCUGUCCAUCUCUAUGUGUCUCUACAUCUCUGUCUCUCUUACUUUGUCACCCCCUGAGGAGAUUCAGUUCUCCUAUGUACAGCCAUCCUGGGUAUACAUUGAGACUGAUUCAAGAACCAUUUUGGAUACUCAAAUCCAUGAAUGCUCAAGAAUAAACAAGCAAACAAAUAACUGAAGAAAUAAAUAACUAAAUAAACAACUACUUGAAUAAAUACACUCUGCAUAGAACUAUCCCACAUCCUCCUAUAUGAUCUAAGCCAUCCUCCCUACUGUUUAGUCUGGUGUAAAUUGUCCUGUGUCAUUUCACUGUUCCCUUUGGGAACUGAUGACGAGGAAGUGAUGUCUGUAAUCAUAUCUUCAAAAGAUUUAUCCUUCCUUAAGUGUGUAUGUCUGUGAGAAUGUAUGCCGAGUAUAUGCCAGUGCUUAUAGAGGUCAGAGACUGUGUCAGAGGCCCUGGAGCUGGAAUUCUAAGCAGUUGGGAGGCGCCAGACAUGAGGGCUGGGAACUGAAUGUGUCCUCUGGAAGAACAGCCAGGGUUCUUAUCCAUGGAGCUACCUCUCUGGCUCCAGAACCACAACUUUCUCCAGCUGUUAUUAAUCCACACUUUAGGCUGAGUCCAGAGAUGUUGCUCCCGUGGAUACAAGGAUGGCUGUAUCUCAUUAAGUUACACUACAUCUGCUCUUCCUUGUCGUUGUCCUCAAUGUUGCCUCUGACAACGUUUCUUCCUCAUUGCUGGCUUCCCAAAAAUCUCGUUCUUCUUUAGAUCCAAAACUUUUGGUCUUUCAAGGGCUCCUUGGAAGCUCAUUGACUCCCCCCACCCCCUUAAAAGCAUACUAAGUGAAAUUAACAUUUGAAUCCCAGCACAUUUCCUUCAUACUCAGGUAGAGAUGUGUUCAUCUACCUUGAAGGACAUAGCAAGGCUCCAUUGCCUCAGAAGAUGGAGAGAAUCUUAAAGGAUGAGUGAUGAUUGCUGUCUCCAGGACUUUGUACACAACACAGUCAAUGUUUGCUCAACUGAACAAAACUGCCAUUCUCUGAGAACUGAGUGGAAACAUGGAAAUGAAUUUAUAUGUGCAUCACGUGUAACACAGAGAGCUGCUGAUGCUGUCACGCUUUUCUGAACAGCAGCAAUGGCCUUGCAGAUGGAGAUACAAGCCCCAGCAGGAUGCAGAAGCUGAGCUGCUACGUAUGCUUUGACCACAGGAUGCUCUGACCGCAGGUUCAUCAUCUCUGGACCAGAAGCUUACAGGAGUCGAGUCCAGGGGUGUGCUUCACAAGGUUCAUUUCCAUGUGGAAAUGUGUACAGAAAGAGAAAGUACCUGACUAAAGUGGCUCAGUCAUGCACUGAAAAGAGUCUGGUCUAAGUGCUUAUGCCAAUUAUAUUCUGACUGCACAGCCUCCUGCUUACCAAAGGUUCUCUUGAUCACCGCUGUGUGUACCAGGCUAGCUGGCUAUGAGCUUCCAGAGUCUCCAGCCCACACAUCUCAACAGGGAAUGGAACUGGAUCGUGCAGGCUGAGUAUAUGAUGAAAAGCUUGUCAACUUUCAGCUGAUGAGGAAAAACACAAACUGGGAAGUCUUUAAAGGAAGGGGAAACCCAUUGCUCAUCACAGGUUGAGUUCCUGGCUGCCCCUUGAGCUGAUUGUGACAGUUAACAGCUUUUGAAUCGAGUGAUGGCUUUAUGCCUACCGUGUAGCCGAUUCUCCUCUCACUUACUUGAAACCUCUUUUUCCACACCAAGUGAAGUAUGGUGGCAGACUGGAUGCUCUCACACCGCAUAACUGGCUUUUCUGAUGCUCGAAUUAUCUUCGCUGGAUAUUAAAGGUACACUGAUUGGUUAUUAACAAUAAGUUCACACAUUUGUUUUAGAGCAUAUUACUAUCACUUGAGAUAAGAACCGUCUCUAAGGAUCUGCGAUUUAUUUGAAGCAGUUGCUGACUGGAGGGUAGGCUCCCACAAAGCACAAAUGUACCCCAGGUUUUGCUUUGCUCCGUUUGGCUCCUCAGCCUGCUUUACUUUCACUGUGUGGAAGCUUUCUACCUCUGCCCUUGAGUUAGGUGGUGGCCUGGUGGAUCAGACACAGAUCACACCUGAAGUACAGUGCAUAUGUUUUAUUGCCCUUUGGUCAUUAAGCCAGGCAUGUUAUUUUUGGCAGCCUAGCCCAGAGGUAAGGCAGAGAAAAAAGCAAGAGGAACAGGAAAUCGUGCUGUAAAAUAUUUACAGGAAAAUGUUGGCUCGCUUGAAGCAAUUCGCUGGCCUGCUCUCCUUCUGCCUUUUUUUUUCUUGUCUAAUCACUUCCCUCUCCCUCUCUCCCUGGCUCCCUGUUACACAAGCUUUAGUCUUAAUAGGAGUACAUUUUUCUUAAUCGAAAGAUAUGAUGCCAUGUUUUGAAUCACGCAAAACACCGUUUUAAUUAUUUAAAAAAAAUAUUCGUUUAGCUAUAAUCAAUUACAAAUGUCCCUAACAGGUCCCUUCUGUCCCAGCCCUAUGCCUGACAGCUUCCCUUCAUCUGAGGAACAUGGCCUCUAUGGUCCAGUCCCUCCCGCGGCUGCUUUGCUAUCUCGAUGGGCAGCUAUUCCCUUAUCCCCAGGGCACUUGAGAAUUAGCACCCCUCUUCAAUCCCAAGUCAGUGUAAACUCCAGUGUACAGAGAGCAAAGGACUCCAGGGUGAGCGACUACAGCCUUCGUUAGGCCCCUUUGUCAGCUUCACCAUGGAGACCACUAGCCUUCUUUGAAGGUUCCUAGAGCGGCACUGCCUGGGGAAUGUGUAAAGUGACAUUGUUCCUUUCAGAACACCCUCAUUCGUGGUAGACAUGGUCGGGUUAGCCAGAACAAUUAUUCACAAACAUGUUUUGUUUUAGUUUUAGU